rnacentral:rRNA from 1 species
GCAUAUCAAUAAGCGGAGGAAAAAGAAACCAACAGGGAUUACCUCAGUAACGGCGAGUGAAGCGGUAAUAGCUCAAAUUUGAAAUCUGCCGCAAGGCCGAGUUGUAAUUUGUAGAAGAUGCUUUGGAUAUGGCCCCGGUCUAAGUUCGUUGGAACACGACGUCAUAGAGGGUGAGAAUCCCGUAUGUGACUGGGUGCUUUUGUCUAUGUAAAGCUCUUUCGACGAGUCGAGUUGUUUGGGAAUGCAGCUCAAAAUGGGUGGUAUAUUUCAUCUAAAGCUAAAUAUUGGCCAGAGACCGAUAGCGCACAAGUAGAGUGAUCGAAAGAUGAAAAGCACUUUGGAAAGAGAGUUAAACAGUACGUGAAAUUGUUGAAAGGGAAGCGCUUGCAACCAGACUUGCACGCUGUUGAUCAUCCAGGCUUCUGUUUGGUGCACUCAACUGUGUUCAGGCCAGCAUCGGUUUUGGUGGUGGGAUAAAGGCCUUGGGAAUGUAGCUUCUUUCGGGGAGUGUUAUAGCCCUCGGUGCAAUGCCGCCUACUGGGACCGAGGACCGCGCUUCGGCUAGGAUGCUGGCGUAAUGGUUGUAAGCGACCCGUCUUGAAACACGGACCAAGGAGUCUAACAUCUAUGCGAGUGUUUGGGUGUCAAACCCAUACGCGUAAUUAACGUGAACGGAGGUGAGAACCCUUAAGGGUGCAUCAUCGACCGAUCCUGAUGUCUUCGGAUGGAUUUGAGUAAGAGCAUAGCUGUUGGGACCCGAAAGAUGGUGAACUAUGCCUGAAUAGGGUGAAGCCAGAGGAAACUCUGGUGGAGGCUCGCAGCGGUUCUGACGUGCAAAUCGAUCGUCAAAUUUGGGUAUAGGGGCGAAAGACUAAUCGAACCAUCUAGUAGCUGGUUCCUGCCGAAGU